rnacentral:tRNA from 8 species
GGGCCGUUAGCUCAGUUGGUAGAGCAGGAGACUCUUAAUCUCUUGGUCCUAGGUUCGAGUCCUAGACGGCCCACCA